GUCAAUGGCCAUGCCACCCUGAACAAGCCUGGAAGCUAAGCAGGGUCGGGCCUGGUUAGUACUUGGAUGGGAGACCACCUAGGAAGACCAGGUGCUGUAGGCA
rnacentral:rRNA from 1 species